GGGUGGCUUAUUUCGCAGUUUGCCCAACAGAGAGCGUUCGCAGAGGGCAGCGGGCUCUUCUCUGGGGGCCUCGCCCACAUGCACACGCACCCCGAGGUGCCGCGGCGAGAGCUCUGCGGGCGGUCCCGGCCCGGCCCCAACUUUCUACGGGGAGCGGAGCGGAGCAGCGGCGGUGGCACUGGAGUUUGGGGAAGAGGCGGGAGGAGGAGAAAAAGGAGGAGGGAAGGAGGAGGAGGAGGAAGGGGCGCGGCACGGCGUGGGCGCGCUGCUGCGCGGGGCAGAGCGCGGCGAAAGGAGAUCGGUGCGGUGCGGUGCGGUGCUGCCAGCAGGCGUGCUGAGGAACUCCGUUUGGGGAAGGAACAGUCGAGAGGACAAGGCACUUAAACUCGUGGCUGAAGUGAAGGCAGCGAAUGGGGAAAAUGCUACUCGCUGUCCUCCAAAAACAGAACUGCAACAGUCCAGUGGAAGUGGGAAGUGGAAGUCUGAAAGCAAGUAUAAGAGUCUGUGUUUUUUCACAGUACUGGGAUCAGCUGUACAGUGAUCUCUGAUACACAAUCUCCUGCAUAUCAGAAAAUUUACAUCAAAAGCAGCUGGGUAAAUUCAUGGCAGAAAAUCACAGGAUGUUGGUAGUGUGGAAUAGAAAGCUGCAGCCCCCAGCUUUGUAAACUUCUGAGCUGUGAAUAGCUGCAAAGUGUAUGUGGAAAAGAGCUUGGGGAGGCUCUUGUUAUCUUUCUGUGCUUUUUACUCUUUCCAAGAACCUGCUUUUAUGUACACAGGGAUAGCAUCCUGGGCUGGGAUGCCCUAUGGGUGAGAAGUGAAACGAUGUGCCUGCUCUAACAUGACAGCAUAGGAAGGAGCAUGGGCUGCUGCUAUCUUUGCGCAUCUUUGGUUAUUGGUCACAUAUCGACUACUCGCUUUGGUCUGGUUUUUGUGCAUUUCUGUGUAUGCUACCCACUUGCAGAGUCAUUCAAAAUCACAGGCAACACUGGCUAGCACUUUGUGUUGCACAAUUCAAAUAAACUAGCAGUUCUGAAGGGCUCCA
rnacentral:lncRNA from 1 species